CCAGGUCAAAGUCCAGCCCAUUGUGAACUCUGUACUACAUUUCAGUUUUCCGGCCUACAGUUAGCCGGAGGAGAAGACGUAGAAAUAGUUGCUUGAUUUUCUGGUCCGACCGCUCACGGUUGAGAUGGACUACGAGAACAAGCUCGUCCUUGCUCCCAUGGUUCGCGUAGGGACUUUGCCGUUUAGAUUAUUAGCUGCACAAUACGGUGCAGACAUCACCUAUGGAGAGGAAAUUAUUGACCAUAAGAUGAUCAAAUGCGAGCGUAGGAUAAAUGAGCACGUUGGUGCAGUCGAUUUCGUAGAAAAGGGGACAGACAAUGUUGUUUUCAGGACUUGCAGCCUAGAAAAAAAUGAAGUUGUUUUUCAAAUGGGUACUUCUAAUGCUGUGAGGGCUUUAAGUGCUGCUCAACUAGUGUGUCAAGACGUUGCUGCAAUAGAUAUCAAUAUGGGUUGCCCUAAGUCAUUUUCCAUCAGUGGGGGCAUGGGUGCUGCACUGUUGAAGAAGCCAGACCUUAUUCAUGAUAUUUUGACAACAUUGAGGAGGAACUUGGACAUUCCAAUUACCUGUAAGAUUCGACUUUUAAAUUCAUCUCAGGAUACAGUGGAGUUAGCUAGGCGGAUAGAGACUACUGGCGUUUCAGCUCUUGCUGUUCAUGGAAGAAGAGUUGCAGAUAGGCCCAGAGAUCCAGCUAAGUGGAGUGAGAUUGCAGAUGUCGUGGCAGCAUUGUCUGUCCCGGUUAUUGCGAACGGUGAUAUCUUUGAGUACGAAGAUUUUCACCAUAUCAAAGUUGCUACAGGUGCUUCGUCAGUAAUGGUUGCUCGAGGAGCGCUUUGGAACGCUUCAAUCUUCUCUGCAGAUGGCAAAUUACCAUGGGAAGAGGUGAAAAGAGAAUAUGUUAGAAAGGUGAGAGCAUCUUGUGGGACAAUGAUAUCAAAAGUACAAAGCACACGCUAAAAGAAAUGAUAAUGCAUUAUUCUUGCCUUGAACUGCCAGAAGGAAAGGCCGUGAUAAAAUCUGAUACAUUGGCAGAUCUAGCGAAACUUUAUGGCGAGGAAAAGUACAAUCAAUUUGUUCAAGAGAAGCGUUUGUUCGAUGGAAGUAGAUGACGUCGUUCGUAGUUCGGAUCAGAGACGCUGUUCAUUGCUUCGACAUGGAACAACCUCGGUACUCUCUCAGUUAAACCCGUUCUAUUAGUUAUGGAGAAGUUGGAUGUGCUCUACAGCAGCUCAAUACUAACAUAUUUCUUACCCUUUCAUUCUUGUCGUGUUAAAAACACAGAGUUAUUAAGCUGCCGCAGAUGAUGCCUGGCUUUAUUUGCUUUUCUGGAAUGCGUAUUUAUGGUUCUAGGAUGUUCCAAGUUGAAAGCUUUGGCUUAUUGUUGCCAAAUUCAUCCAGUUCGUUGAUUUCAGUACCCAUCAAUCAAUCAAUCAAUGGGUUAA